rnacentral:lncRNA from 1 species
AUGAGGACUCUCAUUUUCCUUUGCAUUGUGCUCGCCACACAAGAUGCCAGUGCAACUGGAGCCGAAAAGCUGAGAGCUUAUUACACAGAAACAGCGUAUACAGAAACCGCUACAGGUUUGCUGACAUCUGAUCUGCCAAAAGCAAAUCCAUUCAUAACAGACUGUCACACAUUUCUACAACUUUAUAUGACUCUUUAGAUGUUCCAGAACAGCUUUCAUGUCGCUACAACUGUGGUUACGACAUGGGAAGCUGCUCCUGCACAAGCCACUGUGNNNNNNNNNNAAUACUAUGGCAACUGUUGCUAUGACUACAGCUGUAAGCACCAAUUUACUAUCACUAAUUUUUGCAGCAGCAGUGUUCACAUAAAAUUCAGUGGUACCAUGUCAUCUAGAUUUCAAAAUAAACACCUGAUAAGAAAAUGUUUUCUUUUAUUUUCUAUUUUUAGGAAGGAAAGAAAAUAGUUU